rnacentral:rRNA from 1 species
GACGAACGCUGGCGGCGUGCUUAACACAUGCAAGUCGAACGGAAAGGCCCUGCUUUUGUGGGGUGCUCGAGUGGCGAACGGGUGAGUAACACGUGAGUAACCUGCCCUUGACUUUGGGAUAACUUCAGGAAACUGGGGCUAAUACCGGAUAGGAGCUCCUGCUGCAUGGUGGGGGUUGGAAAGUUUCGGCGGUUGGGGAUGGACUCGCGGCUUAUCAGCUUGUUGGUGGGGUAGUGGCUUACCAAGGCUUUGACGGGUAGCCGGCCUGAGAGGGUGACCGGCCACAUUGGGACUGAGGUGCGGCCCAGAUUCCUACGGGAGGCAGCAGUGGGGAAUAUUGCACAAUGGGCGGAAGCCUGAUGCAGCAACGCCGCGUGCGGGAUAACGGCCUUCGGGUUGUAAACCGCUUUCGCCUGUGACGAAGCGUGAGUGACGGUAAUGGGUAAAGAAGCACCGGCUAACUACGUG